CACCAUAGGACUGGCCGUCCCAUAUGAAAAGAUUAUAUUAGAAUUGAAUGAAGCUUUGUUUAUAUAUUGAUAAUGACAGUAUAUAUAUCGUGUCUUGACUAAUUGCGUGCCAGCAGUCGCGGUAAUACGUAAGAGACUAGUGUUAUUCAUCUUAAUUAGGUUUAAAGGGUACCCAGACGGUCAAUAUAGCUUAUAAAAUGUGAGUACUUGACUAGAGUUUUAUGUAAGAGGGCAGUACUUGAGGAGGAGAGAUGAAAUUUCGUGAUACCAAAGGGACUCUGUAAAGGCGAAGGCAGCCCUCUAUGUAAAAACUGACGUUGAAGGACGAAGGCACAGAGAACAAACAGGAUUAGAUACCCAAGUAGUCUUUGCAGUAAAUGAUGAAUGCCAUAGGUUAGAUUAAUCAAACAUAGUCUAGGGUUAGUCUAGCAAACUAAUGACCUAUACUACAAUGAAAAAUAUCUGGUCUAUAAAUGAAAGUGUAAGCAUUUCACCUCAAGAGUAAUGUGGCAACGCAGGAAC
rnacentral:rRNA from 1 species